rnacentral:rRNA from 1 species
GGACGAACGCUGGCGGCGUGCUUAACACAUGCAAGUCGAACGGAAAGGCCCUGCUUUUGUGGGGUGCUCGAGUGGCGAACGGGUGAGUAACACGUGAGUAACCUGCCCUUGACUUUGGGAUAACUUCAGGAAACUGGGGCUAAUACCGGAUAGGAGCUCCUGCUGCAUGGUGGGGGUUGGAAAGUUUCGGCGGUUGGGGAUGGACUCGCGGCUUAUCAGCUUGUUGGUGGGGUAGUGGCUUACCAAGGCUUUGACGGGUAGCCAGCCUGAGAGGGUGACCGGCCACAUUGGGACUGAGAUACGGCCCAGACUCCUACGGGAGGCAGCAGUGGGGAAUAUUGCACAAUGGGCGGAAGCCUGAUGCAGCAACGCCGCGUGCGGGAUGACGGCCUUCGGGUUGUAAACCGCUUUCGCCUGUGACGAAGCGUGAGUGACGGUAAUGGGUAAAGAAGCACCAGCUAACUACGUG